UGGGGAAUAUUGGACAAUGGGCGAAAGCCUGAUCCAGCCAUGCCGCGUGUGUGAAGAAGGUCUUCGGAUUGUAAAGCACUUUAAGUUGGGAGGAAGGGCAUUAACCUAAUACGUUAGUGUUUUGACGUUACCGAAAGAAUAAGCACCGGCUAACUCUGUGCCAGCAGCCGCGGUAAUACAGAGGGUGCAAGCGUUAAUCGGAAUUACUGGGCGUAAAGCGCGCGUAGGUGGUUUGUUAAGUUGGAUGUGAAAGCCCCGGGCUCAACCUGGGAACUGCAUCCAAAACUGGCAAGCUAGAGUACGGUAGAGGGUGGUGGAAUUUCCUGUGUAGCGGUGAAAUGCGUAGAUAUAGGAAGGAACACCAGUGGCGAAGGCGACCACCUGGACUGAUACUGACACUGAGGUGCGAAAGCGUGGGGAGCAAACA
rnacentral:rRNA from 1 species